UCCUGAUAGUUCAGUUGGUAAAGACUCUGCUUGUAAUGCAGGAGAUCCUGGUUCGAUUCCUGGAUCAGAAA
rnacentral:tRNA from 1 species